UCAAGGCGGAAAGAGAACUUGUUGGCAAGCUGCUGAUGAAGGGCGAUCACCGUUUGGGACACUCCAGUGUCAUGGACAUUGUAAAUGCAGCAUGGCAUGAUACCGGCUGUUGUACAUGCACAUUAACUUCCAUUUCAUCCAUUUACUUUUACUACCCAUUAAUCGUUUGUUUUUCUACGAUUGCUAUUUAUUGACAGUUUAUGCAUCUUCCUGAUUGUACAGAAACUUAUAAUGCAGUCUUCUCAGUUUUGCUAUGAAAGGAAUUGCCAGUAUCAUGCCUUUUCUUAUGUUACCAUGUUACCGGUCAUAUACUUAGGAUUACUUUUCUUCAUUCGUGCAAAUCAGACAUCAAACAUACUAUGGUAUUAAGGGAUCGCUUAGGUGGUAAAGCGCCCUUUCAGCACCUUGGAAUUGCCCCCCUUAGGUGCUUAAACGUCAUACCGGCGGUAGAGCAUCUUAGGACGUAUUAGUGCCUUUAAAACCUUGAAAUAUAAAUGUUAAUACCACUACCAAUCAUUUACUAAUUCUAUUUUGAUCAUAUUAUGUGCUAGAGGGAGGCAUAGCAGUGAACCGAAUGGGGACAGAUACAUGGAAUCUAAUUUGAAAAGCUAAGGUGCCGCCAUAAGUGAGUUUUUAGAUGGAAGCUUGCAAGAAAUACUCGGUGUGCAGGCCCUUCGUCUUUGCAACAGCGCAACCCUCAUGACAGAGGGUUUGCUGCAGCGCUGCUGGGUGUCGAGGUAGUUUGCGUGAGGCCGGUUUGGGCAUUAUCCACUGCCUCCUUCAUUCUCCAGACCAAGCCCACCACCAUGAAGAAUAUCAAGUGCAUAUUUAAUGGAAAUGGAAGACAUUGGAAUAUCUUGUCUUAGCCGCAGAGGGUGGUGUAUCUGUAAAUAUAGACAGUGAAUUUGAUUUGGAAAAUAUUACUACUGAUGCUGAGUUGCAGGAAACAAAGUGCCUGAACAUAUUACCACAGGUGCAAUUAUCCCUCCUCCCAAAGUGGAUUGUUUAUUUCAUUAUGGAAUCCAUUUUCCCCAUUAUGUUUACUUGGCAACCAUAUAUUGAUCUCCGCGCUCCUCCCUCAUGCUACAUUGUGGUUCCACUAUUGGCAGCAGUCUGAUUGACCCUUGCGGGGUGAGGGAGUAGACAUUGGUGGAUAUCGGAGGGCAUGAGCUCACGGUGGUCGCCCAGAUUUCAACAGCUUCGACAGAUAGAGAAGUAUUGCAGGUUUGUUCAAAGUAAACCACGAGUUCAUGAUGUACAUGAUUGGACCUGAGCAAAGAACGGGAAGCAGUGGCGAUGGCGUUGUGACAGUUCCCGCUUGAGCCGCCGAGUAAUAUCACCACCGUUCCACUGUUUAUUGAUGCCAUUGAUUGCCAUAUCAAAGGAGUCUAUCAUAAAGGUCUGAAGGUCCGUUCUGAAUAAUGAAGCCCUGUAAACUAUAGUCUGUUGUUCAGUUUGGAGAUUUUACAUCUCUGAUGACAGCGGCAAGCAUUGGUGUUUCUGGUUCCUACUGCAGUAAGGGAAAGGAUCAACAUACCAGAUUUGUCAAUGAACGAGAUACUCAGGCAUAAUCUACUAGCCCUCUCCUCCUUUUCUCAUGGUCCGCUCUCUGUUUAUUCUGGCUCUUGUUUGACUUGCUUGAAGUGCUUAGUGUGGAUAUGGUGCUAUCGGGAUAUUGAGGAUCUGUACCAAAUUUCUGCGCGGGAAGUGUACACUAUAUAGAAAAAUGUUCGGAUAUUCCCACGAACAAUGAUGCUUGGUCAUAUGCUGAAUUGUUGAUGCAACUUGGAUUUCCACGGGCUGAAUAUCCACACAAGGUAAAUCUUGGGACGAGCAGCGGAUGACUCAUGCCGUGGAUUGUUGUGGUUGAUGGCGUGGAUGGAUGUGCUUGAGUACUUGGUCAGCGGAUUAGAUGGAGUGGAGGCAACGAAGGGAGAUGUAGCAGAACAAGGCAGAGGGUUAGGGAGAUGAGUUAACAGGAAUAGACUGGACCGUUAACUCAAAUCGUGAUGGGAUUGGCGGUAUGAUCCAAGAAUAGUGGUGAAAAUUCUUUACGCAGAGGUCAAACAUUUGUGUAGUUUCUGAU